rnacentral:rRNA from 1 species
AACGCGAAGAACCUUACCAAGGCUUGACAUAUACCGGAAACGGCUAGAGAUAGUCGCCCCCUUGUGGUCGGUAUACAGGUGGUGCAUGGUUGUCGUCAGCUCGUGUCGUGAGAUGUUGGGUUAAGUCCCGCAACGAGCGCAACCCUUGUUCUGUGUUGCCAGCAUGCCCUUCGGGGUGAUGGGGACUCACAGGAGACUGCCGGGGUCAACUCGGAGGAAGGUGGGGACGACGUCAAAUCAUCAUGCCCCUUAUGUCUUGGGCUGCACACGUGCUACAAUGGUCGGUACAAAGGGCUGCGAUGCCGCGAGGCGGAGCGAAUCCCAAAAAGCCGGCCUCAGUUCGGAUUGGGGUCUGCAACUCGACCCCAUGAAGUUGGAGUUGCUAGUAAUCGCAGAUCAGCAUGCUGCGGUGAAUACGUU